GUGAACGCUUGCGGUAGGCCUAACCCCUGCCAGUCGCACGGCAGCACAGUAAGAGCUUGCUCUUACGGGUGGCGAGUGGCGGACGGGUGAGGAAUACAUCGGAAUCUACUUUUUCGUGGGGGAUAACGUAGGGAAACUUACGCUAAUACCGCAUACGACCUACGGGUGAAAGCAGGGGAUCUUCGGACCUUGCGCGAUUGAAUGAGCCGAUGUCGGAUUAGCUAGUUGGCGGGGUAAAGGCCCACCAAGGCGACGAUCCGUAGCUGGUCUGAGAGGAUGAUCAGCCACACUGGAACUGAGACACGGUCCAGACUCCUACGGGAGGCAGCAGUGGGGAAUAUUGGACAAUGGGCGCAAGCCUGAUCCAGCCAUACCGCGUGGGUGAAGAAGGCCUUCGGGUUGUAAAGCCCUUUUGUUGGGAAAGAAAAGCAGCAGGUUAAUACCCCGCUGUUCUGACGGUACCCAAAGAAUAAGCACCGGCUAACUUCGUG
rnacentral:rRNA from 1 species